rnacentral:rRNA from 1 species
GACGAACGCUGGCGGCGUGCUUAACACAUGCAAGUCGAACGGUAAGGCCCUUCGGGGUACACGAGUGGCGAACGGGUGAGUAACACGUGGGUGAUCUGCCCUGCACUUCGGGAUAAGCCUGGGAAACUGGGUCUAAUACCGGAUAGGACCACUGCCUGCAUGGGGGGUGGUGGAAAGCUUUUGCGGUGUGGGAUGGGCCCGCGGCCUAUCAGCUUGUUGGUGGGGUGAUGGCCUACCAAGGCGACGACGGGUAGCCGGCCUGAGAGGGUGACCGGCCACACUGGGACUGAGAUACGGCCCAGACUCCUACGGGAGGCAGCAGUGGGGAAUAUUGCACAAUGGGCGCAAGCCUGAUGCAGCGACGCCGCAUGAGGGAUGGCGGCCUUCGGGUUGUAAACCUCUUUCAGCACCGACGAAGCGCAAGUGACGGUAGGUGCAGAAGAAGGACCGGCCAACUACGUGCCAGCAGCCGCCGUAA